GACCUGGUGGCGUAACUGUUAACGCGCACAUUUAUUACUGGCACAUAAUCAGUUAAAUGCGAGACCCUCGUUCAAUUCGAGGUCAGGCCA